UACCCGCGGCAAGACGGAAAGACCCCGUGAACCUUUACUAUAGCUUGACACUGAACAUUGAGCCUUGAUGUGUAGGAUAGGUGGGAGGCUUUGAAGUGUGGACGCCAGUCUGCAUGGAGCCGGCCUUGAAAUACCACCCUUUAAUGUUUGAUGUUCUAACGUUGGCCCCUGACCGGGGUUGCGGACAGUGUCUGGUGGGUAGUUUGACUGGGGCGGUCUCCUCCUAAAGAGUAACGGAGGAGCACGAAGGUUGGCUAAUCCUGGUCGGACAUCAGGAGGUUAGUGCAAUGGCAUAAGCCAGCUUGACUGCGAGCGUGACGGCGCGAGCAGGUGCGAAAGCAGGUCAU
rnacentral:rRNA from 1 species